rnacentral:piRNA from 1 species
AAUGUUUGAUCACUGUGAAUCAACCC